UUGAUUUUGACUCCUCUUUCCUCCAGAUCGGACGAUCCCACCCCACCCCCUGCUAAUCUCGUUACAGGUAACUUUCCAAUUCGGCGGCCCCACAGCCAAACCCUGUGGGAGAGUCAGACCUCCACUAAUAUUUGGAGUCCCUAAAUGCCUGGAGUGAAAAAGAAAGUCUACAUACAUAAACAGGAAGUGGUUUCGCUACCCAGUGCUUCAUCCUGGCAGUGUGGCAUUUCAGGCACAGGAGCCUAGCUGUGGAGAGACCUGCCCUCUGGCUGGCAUACCUCUCUGGUCCUUCGAAUCGCCAAAUUCCAAAAGGGGAAUAUGCCUUGGAAGAGGACUGUUGGAAGCCAUUUUCUGAACUCACUAAGUCGAGGAAAAAAAAAACACAACAAACUCCUUGUGAG